UGGGAAGGGGGCUUGCUCCCGAUGACGGUGGGUCAGUCAGCUUGUUGCCGCUGAUCCACUGCAAUCGGGAGCUAGCCCCUCCCACA
rnacentral:misc_RNA from 1 species